UCUAUCUUCAACGAUAUUAACAACAGUUAAGAGUUACCAGCCCUUCUAUGCUAUGAGAAGGUGUCAUAUUGAAAUUUUCGAGCUUCCAACAUGGUACUUUAUUAUGAUGCAUCCUUCACUUGCCAGAUUUGAAUUUUGAAGGCCCCCAUGCUUGGACGAGUCCCAUCUAUUUGAUUUGGUGUAGCAUUUUUCUGACAUCUUGCCAAACCAAUCGUUGCUAAGUGUCCCCAAAUAUCAUGUCGGGCUGAUAUCCACAAAUUUGGGAGUUCGUAUUCGGAGGAAGUACACUGUUGACACAGAAGGAAGAUAGUAGUAAUGUGGAAGAAGUUCAAUAACCUACCUCAUUAUGAUGGUAUCUUCCUAUUCCCUCCUUUCAUAUAUGCACUCUCUGCAUAUUUUACGCUUCCAAAUAUUUCAGUCGGAGUGAUAUCAUAUUUCAAGACUGCAGAUAUAGAGGUGGCUCUGGUGUGACUGCUUCAAAGAAACAGAUAUAGGCGCAAUUGUAGCUGUGACUGCUCUGCUUUGGAAGUAACUUGUCUUCCAACCGUCAAUUGAUCAUCAUGCCUAGGAUGGGGGAUUUCCAAAUGUUUGAAAAUAAUGAAGAAAAUAUUUUUCGGGGAAUGCGCUGAGCAUGGGAAGAUAAUCUUUCUCAAGGUUUGCAGGAGGCAGUGCAAUGCUUCAAUUUGAAUCAGACAGUCUAAGGUUUCUCUUCUGUCUACUUUCUAAUUGAGGAUUCAAAGGAACUAAUGAUGAUUGAAAGUUAUCAUGAAAAACUUGUCAGCAACCAGCUACCCGUUGAUACUAUUACCCAAUCUCCACUAAGCACUGGUCAUCGUAUCUUUAUUCACCACCAUGACAAUACAAUUACAUUGCUACGAA